rnacentral:lncRNA from 1 species
UUCACAAAGCCACUCGUGCCUAUGAAUCUACACACAUAUAUAUAAGACUUCAUAAUAAAAUUUAGUUUAGUACCGCUCAUAAUCAUCAUGUGGAAGCUACUUUUGUCGUGUUUUUACAUAUUUACUGUAAUUUUCUCAGUAACAGGUUUAACAUGCCCCAAGGGAGAGGCACCUGGCUGCGGUGGGAACUGCAAUAGCAAAUGCUAUAACUAUUUCAAUGGCCAAUCUCGUAUUGAAUGUCCUACAUUUGAGUGCACUAAAUCUAACACUCAAUGCGUAUGCGAUUUCCGAAAUGACUACUGGUUGGACAGUGAUACUGGGAAAUGUGUACGUGGUGCAGACUGCCCUGUAAGCCAGAAAGGAAACUAAAAUAAAAAUAAUAAACAGACUUAUUACCUAAUA